CCUACGGGUGGCUGCAGUGGGGAAUAUUGGACAAUGGGGGGAACCCUGAUCCAGCCAUGCCGCGUGUGUGAAGAAGGCCCUCGGGUUGUAAAGCACUUUCAGUGAGGAAGAACGCCUGGUGGUUAAUACCCAUCAGGAAAGACAUCACUCACAGAAGAAGCACCGGCUAACUCCGUGCCAGCAGCCGCGGUAAUACGGAGGGUGCGAGCGUUAAUCGGAAUUACUGGGCGUAAAGCGCGCGUAGGUGGCUUGAUAAGCCGGUUGUGAAAGCCCCGGGCUCAACCUGGGAACGGCAUCCGGAACUGUCAAGCUAGAGUGCAGGAGAGGAAGGUAGAAUUCCCGGUGUAGAGGUGAAAUGCGUAGAGAUCGGGAGGAAUACCAGUGGCGAAGGCGGCCUUCUGGACUGACACUGACACUGAGGUGCGAAAGCGUGGGUAGCAAACAGGAUUAGAUACCCGUGUAGUC
rnacentral:rRNA from 1 species